rnacentral:lncRNA from 1 species
CCCUGCCGCAGAGCUUCCGCCGCUCCGUGAGCUCAGCGCGCCCGGAGCUCAACACGCCCGGAGCUCACCGCGCCCGGAACUCAUCGCGCUCGGAGCUCACCGCGCCCGGAGCUCAUCGCGCUCGGAGCUCACCGCGCCGUGAGCUCAACGCGCUCGGAGCUCAUCGCGCUCGGAGCUCACCGCGCCGUGAGCUCAACGCGCUCGGAGCUCAUCGCGCUCGGAGCUCACCGCGCCGUGAGCUCAUCGCGCCGCGCCGCCGCGCUGCGGGCACCGCCCCCGGAGCUGGGAGGCAUGGCCGGGGAGGAGCGGCUGGAGGGAGCUGCGGGUGUUCGGGCCGAGGCGGAGCAGGCUCUGGAGAGACCUUUCUGCUCGCUGCAAACGCCUGAAUGGCGGCUGUACCAGCUCUCUUCUCCCAGGCUGUCUGGCGAUGAUAAUCCACUAAAGGAUUAUUUCAUCCAAGUGGCGGUGUCCGAGUCAAAUGCCGGCAACAGGCAGGAAAGCCCAAACCUGUUGAGGCAGACGUCUGCCCAGAUGGGAGGAAUCGGAGCGACGGCCCUUAAGAGGGCGAGGCGGGGGACAUACUUUGUGCCAGCAGAAUAAGUCCAUGGGCUGCACCCGUGAUGGGAGAGCAAGGCCAUGAUGGUGAUGGCUGGAAGUUUGCGGGCUGCGAUGCCGAUGCUGGCCAAAGCAGGCCCCAGGCUGCGCUCUUUGGAGGAGUGCCUUGUCACAUUAGCCGGGCGGCCACUGUGUUUGACGCUCAACCUGGACAGACAGGCCUGCCAGGCAGAAACUGCUCAGGCAGAUGAUGCUGGGGAGGACAAAAAUUAUCCAGCGCAAGACUGAGAAGACAGAUGACACCCAGCAGGAACAGCAAGCCAAAUCUGCAGAAUCCACAAUGCAGCUGGCUAGCCCGGGGCUACCUGCCUCUUUGAAGAGGAAUAGACAUCACCUAUGAGCUGUCAAAUUAGAUCACCGGCCUGAAAAUGCUGAAAGAGAUUUAGUUCUUCCAACAGAGAAGGGAAAGUUUAAUGGAUGAAAAUCUUUCUAAAGGGGCCAAGGUAGUGUGGGAGGGGAAAGGAGAAUCCUUCAGAUGGAGCAACAUUGAAAAAUUAAUCACCUCCCGCCUGCCUGCAGCGUGAGAUGGGAUGUGCUGUAGUCACUACCAGCAUGGAAAAUAAAGGCCACGCCUGCAGGAAGGUGCA